UAAAGGAGGCUCAAAGAAAAAAAAUAUCUUUCCCGCGAUCUGAUAAAAUAAAUACUCUCCCCUCUCUCUCUCUCUCAAACUUCCAACACGAAGAAAACUCAAAUCGAAUAAAUCCUAGCCCAAGCAAGCUCCAAUCAGUGAUGAACCCUUACGACAACCGCUACUCCGACCCCGACUCUUACCGUCACCGUCACCAUCGCAGUGACUUAAUGGGCCAAAAAACUCCAGUGGUACCCACAAUGAUGGGGCCUUUUCCUCGUGGCGGUGGUGCUGGGGUUCCUCCGCCUCCGUCUUUUGCGGGUAGAGGCGGUCCCCCUCCAGGUGGUGGAGGUUAUCCUGCUUUUGAGCGACCUGCUAGUGGAUUCAGUGUUGGACGAGGUGGUGGUGGUGGUGGAGGAGGAGGAGGGGGAUUUAGUGGUGGCCGAGGGUCUAAUUUUCAUGGUGGGGAUAGAAGAAAUGAUGCUGGCCGUGGGAGAGGCUGGAAUUCUGGUUCUGGCCGUGGUGGUGGUGGUGGAAGAGGGGGGAGGUUUGGAGGGGGAGAUCCAAGGAGAGAGUUGGAUAAUAUUGCACUUCCAAAGCAGGAUUUUGGGGACUUGGUGCCUUUUGAGAAGAACUUAUACUUCGAGAAUCCUUCUAUUAGGUCUAUGUCGGAACAUGAAGUGGUUACGUUUCGUGCUAGAAGAGAAAUUACUGUUGAAGGUCAUGACGUGCCUAGGCCUAUUCGAAUUUUUCAAGAGGCCAAUUUCCCUGAUUACUGCUUACAGGUGAUUGCUAAGUUGGGUUUUGUUGAGCCAACGCCAAUUCAAGCUCAAGGGUGGCCAAUGGCUCUAAAGGGUAGAGAUCUAAUUGGCAUUGCUGAGACUGGUUCUGGUAAGACACUGGCAUAUCUGCUACCAGCUUUUGUGCAUGUUGCUGCUCAGCCUCGAUUGGUACAUGGUGAUGGUCCGAUUGUGUUAGUAUUAGCUCCUACAAGAGAGCUGGCAGUUCAGAUUCAAGAAGAAGCUUUGAAGUUUGGUUCAAAGGCGAAUAUUAGGAGCACAUGCAUAUAUGGCGGUGCUCCCAAGGGACCCCAAAUUCGUGAUCUUCAAAGAGGUGUUGAAAUUAUUAUUGCUACCCCUGGUCGACUAAUAGAUAUGCUGGGAGCUCAGCACAUGAAUUUGCGAAGAGUCACAUACCUAGUGUUGGGCGAGGCUGAUCGCAUGUUGGACAUGGGCUUUGAGCCUCAAAUUAGGAAAAUUGUAUCUCAGAUUCGACCAGAUAGGCAGACAUUGUAUUGGAGUGCAACAUGGCCCAGGGAAGUCGAAGCUUUAGCAAGGCAUUUUUUGCAUAAUCCAUACAAGGUUAUCAUAGGAUCGCAAGAUUUAAAAGCAAACCAGUCUAUAAAGCAAGUUGUUGAAGUCAUGAUGGACCUGGAGAAAUACAAACGGCUGAUCAAACUGCUGAAAGAAGUGAUGGAUGGAAGUCGAAUUCUAAUAUUCAUGGAGACAAAAAAAGGCUGUGACCAAGUUACAAGGCAGUUGAGAAUGGAUGGAUGGGCAGCUUUGUCCAUCCAUGGUGAUAAAAACCAGGCUGAAAGGGAUUGGGUCCUGGCGGAAUUCAAAAGUGGCAGAAGUGCGAUAAUGACUGCCACUGAUGUUGCUGCACGGGGUCUUGGUAGGAUCAUUAUGUGUUGGAAUCCUAGGUCUAUUUGCAUCUGUCUAGAAAUUUGAAGAUAGGCAAGUCGGCCGGCUGCUAUCCAGUUUUCCCUGAAUAUAGUCUGUGGUAUGGGUGCAAAGCGAGCUACCAAUAUGAAUAAUCACCCACUGAUUGCUGUAUUAACAUGUAAGCAUGGUUCUUUACUUCAAAGGGAUUUCAAAGUUGGAUUGAGUGGCACCUUGGUUUCUCAUAUUCACUAGAAUAUCCCAUUAGCUACAGCUCAUGUUUCAUGGACACAAGGAGCACUGCCCAUUGGUGUUGUGGACAGCUGUAUAAGAUUUAUUCUGUGACUGGGGAAGUUGCAUUUCUGUUUCUGCAUGGAAGAAAAGUAAUCUAAAAUCUGGCUUUCAUGAGGCAGUAAUUUGCAGAAUUCCCAAAUAUCGCAUAGCUCCAACUAACAGGUGUCUGCAUAACAUGUUUGCAAGCGAUUGUUGCCCAUCCACAGAUAUGGAGCUGGUUUAUCUCGGCAGCCGGGUUGACUGACAUGUUUAUUAAAUAGCUGGAUAUGGAAAUAGUGGUGGUGAAGCUGCUCCUUAUCCCUGCAAGGUUAAGAUGUGAAGGACAUAAAAUGUGUGGUCAACUAUGAUUUUCCUUCCAGCCUUGAGGAUUAUGUUCACAGGAUAGGCCGAACUGGUCGAGCAGGAGCUAGUGGAACUGCCUUAACCUUUUUCACAGAGUCAAAUGCAAAAUUUGCUAGGGAUCUUAUUAAAAUUCUGCAAGAAGCAGGGCAGAUUGUGCCUCCAUCGUUAUCUGCUAUGACUCGGUCAGCUGGUUCUUUUGGAGGUAACUUCCGUUCCAGAGGAAGAGGUGGCUUCAGCAACCGCCGGAUGAUUUCAGGAUCCAAUACCGUGCCCCUUGGUGCUGGUAGACCUUGGUAAUUUAGCGAACAAUUGCAGCUUCUACUGGCAUCAUCAACAAACAAGCUUUAGUUAUGUUAAGAAGACUAUCUCUGCGAGUGGGUGCAUUCGUAUUGAAAUGAAGGGUUAAACAAUGCUGUAACUAAUAAAGUAUAGGAAUUCGUGUAUUGGCAAUUCAUAUUUAUGUGAUUGUAACUUUAGGUUGGCGUAACUUUUGAGCAUAGGUGAUUAGGUUCUCUGUUGUGGUUUGCUUAAUUCUUGAUGUGGUUACUCAAAUAUCCAAAGCCAAUUUAACCGGCAAAGGUAUAAUAGAGCUUGUGUUUUUGUUAA